rnacentral:lncRNA from 1 species
AAAUCAUAGGAUUAUUUGACCUAGAGCCUUUUUGUACCAUACACAAGUCAUAAUAUACAUGUUUAAUUGAUUUGAAUCACAAAUAAUGCAAAAAUAUUAACUUGGAGUCAAGUCUUAACUGCAUGCAUGUUGUAUGACCAUAAAAGGCUAAACUACCUUAGUAUGCCAAUUUAAGAGCUGGAAUUUCCCUUAAACAAAAUUG